GAUGAACGCUGGCGGCGUGCCUAAUACAUGCAAGUCGAGCGAACAGACGAGGAGCUUGCUCCUCUGACGUUAGCGGCGGACGGGUGAGUAACACGUGGAUAACCUACCUAUAAGACUGGGAUAACUUCGGGAAACCGGAGCUAAUACCGGAUAAUAUAUUGAACCGCAUGGUUCAAUAGUGAAAGACGGUUUUGCUGUCACUUAUAGAUGGAUCCGCGCCGCAUUAGCUAGUUGGUAAGGUAACGGCUUACCAAGGCGACGAUGCGUAGCCGACCUGAGAGGGUGAUCGGCCACACUGGAACUGAGACACGGUCCAGACUCCUACGGGAGGCAGCAGUAGGGAAUCUUCCGCAAUGGGCGAAAGCUUGACGGAGCAACGCCGCGUGAGUGAUGAAGGUCUUCGGAUCGUAAAUCUCUGUUAUUAGGGAAGAACAAAUGUGUAAGUAACUAUGCACGUCUUGACGGUACCUAAUCAGAAAGCCACGGCUAACUACGUG
rnacentral:rRNA from 1 species